rnacentral:lncRNA from 1 species
AUGUUCUUGGUUUCCCUGCCUUCUGAUUUCUGUGGACUUUCACUCCUUCUGGGAGCCAGUGGUCAAACACCAUUUCACUGUGACCAACAGGUGCACACUCUGAGCCCCAAGGGAAGGGGCUGUGCUCCACCUCCUGCCCGGUUGUUCUGUGUAUGUCCCUACAAGAAUACUCAUCUCUUGCCUUCAGGUGGCAUUUUUCAACGAUGCUGGAGCCAGUGCCCAGGAAGAGCAAAGGGUGUGCUGCCAGCCCCUGGCUCACCCAGUGGCUUCAUCCCAGAGGACCCCAGGGACUGGGGCGACUUUAUGGAGGACAAGGUGGACCUGAAGGAGCAUGGGGAGAAACUAGAGCUUCGAUUCAUCCACCUCUUGGGACAGACACCAUAAGUGAGCGGGAGGCCAGGGUACGGCAGGGGGAGCUACAGGGCCGUCAGAGGGGCCCCAGCCUCUGAGUUGUGUCCUCCCACAGGAAAGUACACCAGACAGGGGGCAGUGCCAAAAUGCGUCACUGGGACAGGAGGACAUCAUCAGGCUGGCCCAGGACCAGGAGAUGCAAGUAGGGUGUGCAACAUCUUUGUGGGGGUGGGAGUAGGGGUGAGGGUGAAUUUGGGCACUGGCACCGGCAUGGCAGCUAAGCACCCCUCCCUCCAGGUGAACCUGCUGGAGCUGCAGGGACAGGUGUUGUGGCUUGUGGGCGACCACAAUGAGGGGCAUGACAAAUUCUUGACCACUGUCCAGAGCCCUGCUGAUCAGGCCGCUCUAGGAGCCCGAAUCCCCCAGGAGCUUGGGUGUGCUGACAAGCAGGGUGGUGGGUAGAGCGCUCAGGCGGGGUGGGUGGGCAGGAGCAGGGGAGGCUCGCACUGACCUCAGAUCCCCUCCUCCCUCUGUCUGAAGAUCUUCGUGGCUGAGCCUCACUGACAGCGUGGAGCCUGCACCAGGAGAGGCCAGAGAGGGUUCUCCCCACCACAACCCCACGGCACAGCAGAUCGUGCAGCUGCUUCCUCUAACGCAGGACUCUCCAGGAGCACCGAGGCUUGGGCAGCAACCCCUGCAUGCCAUUCUUUUCACCGUGCCGAGAUCAGGGAGAUAAACAUCACCAUCAUCUAAGAGCUGGUCAAGAAAUUUAAAAACAAACAAACAAAAAAAGUUUAGGGGUUAAUCUCCUACACAAUUCAUUUACUUCAUUUGAAUGUUAGAGCCCCUCAUGUUUAUUUGUGUUUCUAACUUAGUUUAAAUUUAUUUGUAAAAAUUACAGAAGAGUGGGUCUUUCCCUCAUGUUCACUAUGGCAUCCUUUAGCAUUUUUCUUUUUAUUUGAUAACUGUAGGUCAUUAGCACGCAUAUCGAGUUUGCCCUAUGUGUUGGGAGUUCAAACAUAAAGACCCACUAUAUGCACAAAACUGUUCUUGCUGGUUUGGAAUAGGCUGCCAGGAUUUUUCAAUGUUAUUGCAGCAUGUAUAUUCAUUACGGAAUUCAGAUAAAAUUUGUCUAUGUUCUGCUAGUAUGCUUGAUCGACUCCUAAUCACAGUGAGCUCUUCAUUAGCUCAAUAUGUGGUUUGCCCUCAAGUGCGCUGUUUAUUAGUUUGUAAUGUGCCACUGUGAGUAGUGACAUUUACAGUUGUUUAAAGAUGGAACACUGGAGAGAGCCUUUCUCCCUUUUUCUGUGUAUUGGGGAUGGGCGUAAUAACAUUUUGGGGAGAUUUUUAAAUCUCCCAAAAGAGGAAAGUGGCCUGCUCUGGCAGAUGUGUGCAGGAUAGAAUACGUUUCAUUUGUUUUGGAGCCAAGAAUGAGUGCGUUACUACGGUACUCCCCUUAGGAUUUGUAUAUGCUCUGGACUCAUGAAAAUAUUACUCCUUUUUGAUAACCUAAAAAGGGAUUAUGACCUAAAAAGGGAUUGUACCACUGUUAAUUAGCCAAAUUAUUUGGUCUAACAGUUUUUCUUUAUCAUUCUGAAACUGGGUUUUUCUAACACAUUGAUAAAUUAUUUCAAAGGUAUUUUGAUAGUUCAAAUCACUUCACUUUUACCCUGACACAUAUAAAUGUCUAGGAAUGACCUUCAGAUAACGUUUAGCAUCUGUAACCUAUCUGACAAUAAUGUGUUCAUCAGGUACCUAUGGAUUAAAUCACAUACCGGCAUAUUUAAGCUGAAUGUCAGUUUGAAAAAUAAAUGUGCUAUAUUACCUGAAAUACUACUCUUUGUGUAGGUAUUUUGUCAUAAGUUUAAGAAAAAGCUAAAAAGAUGGAAAUCCUAUGACAAUAACUUAAGUCUUUCUUCUAAGUGCAUGCAGUCAUUUGCAAUACCUCAUUCAGCCAAGUAUUUGUUCUCUUCCUCAUUCAGUAUAAGGCAGCUUUCAAUUUGCUUAGAAGGCGACAUUAGAAGGUUAGAGUUCAGCAGAAACAUAGAAUUUUAAAGUGUGAGUUCAACUGAAUAAAUUUGAAUUUCUGUAGGAAGUAAAGAAUCAAAAUGCCUAUUGAAAGACUGCAAUAUAUGAAAAUUAUUUUUAAAGUGUUUGAUUAAACCUGAUAGGUUUUCCCAAAAUGAAAAAACUCAGUUCUAAAACCAAAGCUGUUUUCUACAAAACAUGAAAAUGUAAAUCACCCCAUCCAUAAUAGCUUCUCUAAAACUUUAUCUUACAGUCACUUUCAAAUAACUAUUCAAAAACGUAACUGCUGUAUUAAUGUCUUGAAAUAAGUUAAAACAUUUUAAAAUAUGAACACCAUAGUUUAAAAGAAAGAAUCUAGGGGAAGGAAAAGUAGAGAAAGAAAUGCCAGUUCCAGUCCAAAGCUUUAUUUGCCAAGUUUUCUUAGACUUACUUUUACCAACUUAUGAUUUCUUGUAAACAGAAUGUAUAAUAGAAAUACUGACUUUUGUCUAACGUGGCAUUCUUGACUGCUUCUGUGAUGUUACUAUAAUGUAAUAAAUUAUGAAAUUCUUGCAAGGUGCUGUUUUUGCCUUAAAAUUUUGUGUGUCUUGAAAAUUCUAGUAUUAAAGGUAUUGAGACUGUGCAAAUGCCGGGAACAUUGGCAUGAGAUAAUCAGUUUUUAUUCUCACAAAAUUGUAACUAUGUAAGUGUGUUUAUUAAAAGAACAUAAACUAAAAAGGUUACAGGAAUUAAAAGUUGUGGAAUGAAAAAGUUACGGGAUAAAAAAUACAGUGGAAAAGUUGUGGCAAAAAAGUUGUGAAAAAAAGUAAAAAAAAAGUUUUAUGCAAAGUUUUUUUUUAAAGUUAUGAAAAAGAAGUUACCGGAUUUAAAAAAAAUCAUGGAAUAAAAAUAAAUAAAAGCAGGCCCCUGUCAGCAUAAGCCUGGGGAAGUGGGUCUGCAGUCUUCGCCCACACUAUGUCCCUACAACCCCUUCCCAGUCACCCCUUUACCAUUAGGUAGCAACACAAGACCCCUGUCUAAUGGAGGGAGAAAAACAGACCCUUUACCACCUUGACCAAGGCUAAGUCCUUACAUUUCUGGAUGAUGAUGUUUGAUAUUUAAGAGCCAGAGGUUGAUGGAGUUGGUUUGUUUGGAGGAGGUGUGAUGGCCUCCUUACUUUUUCCUCAGGGGUGCUCCCAUCUUCUUACUCAGAGAGGCAUCUGAGGCGGGACAGUGGAGCUAACUGUUAGACCAGGCGAGGGCACGGGCUGCUAGGGGUGACCCGCCCUUCCCCCAUGUACAUACUGUAUCUGUGUAACAUUCUGUAUGUAUCGUACCUAGCGGAGGUUGCAGCUGGCAUAUGAAGAAGAGGUUCUGAUAGUUAUUUGCAGCUGGGAAACUUAUUUAUUGCUAGCAUAGGAGCGAGGAAGGAGGAGGGGAUGGAGUCAUGGCUCCCUAGUGACGGGACUCCCGUUUUCUUGUUUUUUAUUUGGGAAUAAAUGGAUUUAGCCAUACUGCUCAGCCUGGUAUGUUCCCGUUUCCCUCAGUGGGUCCUGCAGUUUGUCCCAUUGAAAGAGGAGCCCCAGAGCGUCUGAGCAUGUCCAGUUGGGCCGCUGGGGAUCUUCCAGGCCUGUUGCCUGUAUGCUGCCUGGUGACACCUGGUAGAUUUCACGGGGACUGCCAUGGCGCCUAAUGGGCACAGUGCAGCCCUGACGGCCAACAGGUUCAGAAGACUGAUCUAGCUGUGGCCAGGAAGACAGAUACCAGCACUGACUUUCACCCAUCCCAGGUGUCUUCCAUUCCGUCCUCCUGCCUCCUUCUCCUGUCUGCACCAGGUGGGCUGUCUGUCCAGAGUGCCUGCUGCCUGGCAGGCUCCCUCCAGGCUGAGUUCACGGUCCUGCCCCCUAGUGGCCAGAGCCGGCGUCACAGGAUAAGAACCAGCUAAGCUCCAGGGACUUUCCAGGAAAAGAGUCCCUUGGAAAGGGUGUGACCUUUUCACCA